GUAGAGAGGCUAUAUACAGUAGAGAGGCUAUAUACAGUAGAGAGGCUACAUACAGUAGAGAGGCUACAUACAGUAGAGAGGCUAUAUACAGUAGAGAGGCUAUAUACAGUAGAGAGGCUAUAUACAGUAGAGAGAUUAUAUACAGUAGAGAGGCUAUAUACAGUAGAGAGGUUAUAUACAGUAGAGAGGUUAUAUACAGUAGAGAGGCUAUAUACAGUAGAGGCUAUAUACAGUAGAGAGGCUAUAUACAGUAGAGGCUAUAUACAGUAGAGAGGCUAUAUACAGUAGAGAGGCUAUAUACAGUAGAGAGGCUAUAUACAGUAGAGAGGCUAUAUACAGUAGAGGCUAUAUACAGUAGAGGCUAUAUACAGUAGAGAGGCUAUAUACAGUAGAGGCUAUAUACAGUAGAGAGGCUACAUACAGUAGAGGCUAUAUACAGUAGAGGCUAUAUACAGUAGAGAGGCUAUAUACAGUAGAGAGGCUAUAUACAGUAGAGAGGCUAUAUACAGUAGAGAGGCUAUAUACAGUAGAGAGGCUAUAUACAGUAGAGAGGUUAUAUACAGUAGAGAGGCUAUAUACAGUAGAGAGGCUAUAUACAGUAGAGAGGCUAUAUACAGUAGAGAGGCUAUAUACAGUAGAGGUUAUAUACAGUAGAGAGGCUAUAUACAGUAGAGAGGCUACAUACAGUAGAGAGGCUACAUACAGUAGAGAGGCUAUAUACAGUAGAGAGGCUACAUACAGUAGAGAGGCUAUAUACAGUAGAGAGGCUAUAUACAGUAGAGAG
rnacentral:lncRNA from 1 species